rnacentral:rRNA from 1 species
AUGUGUGGCAGCGGGGCUGCAGUGGCCCUUCUCUGUGGUGGUGCAGCAAGCAGUGCUCCACGAUCAAAAUCGAUGCUAUUUUGGAGGUGGUCUGCUCACUUGGACGAAAGUCCUGCUCUUGUCGGAGCCGGCGACGGCGACACCUGCGGGCGCCGCGAACCUCCUUGGAGGCAGCGCUGUCAUGGUGGCUGCCCCUUCGAAAAACUCCGGGGAAACCCAUGUCCCAGGUUCGUCUGGGGCGGACGAUGGCGGCACAUUUUUGUGUCGCGUCCCUUCUUGAAGGCAUCAUCUGGGUUCAGCUCGGUUGGUCUCUGUGGUGGCUGCUCGUUGCGGGUUUGA